GGCCCCGUGGUCAAGCGGUUAAGACACCGCCCUUUCACGGCGGUAACAGGAGUUCGAUUCUCCUCGGGGUCACCA
rnacentral:tRNA from 1 species